rnacentral:rRNA from 1 species
ACGCUCGACACCUACGGGGGGCAGUAGUCGGGAAUAUUGCGCAAUGGAGGAAACUCUGACGCAGUGACGCCGCGUAUAGGAAGAAGGUUUUCGGAUUGUAAACUAUUGUCGUUAGGGAAGAGAAAGGACAGUACCUAAGGAGGAAGCUCCGGCUAACUACGUGCCAGCAGCCGCGGUAAUCUGAGCGGGCUGGCAAGGC